rnacentral:rRNA from 1 species
AGCAUAUCAAUAGCGAGAAAGAACCAACAGAGAUUGCCUUAGUAACUGCGAGUGAAGCGGCAAAAGCUCAAAUUUGAAAUCUGGCGUCUUCGGCGUCCGAGUUGUAAUUUGGAGAGACAUCUUCGGGGUAGGCGCUGUCCUAAGUUCCUUGGAACAGGACGUCACAGAGGGUGAGAAUCCCGUGUCUGGAUGGCUGCCCUACUCCAUGUGAAGUGUCUUCGACGAGUCGAGUUGUUUGGGAAUGCAGCUCAAAAUGGGAGGUAAAUUUCUUCUAAAGCUAAAUAUUGGCGAGAGACCGAUAGCGCACAAGUAGAGUGAUCGAAAGAUGAAAAGCACUUUGAAAAGAGAGUUAAAAAGUACGUGAAAUUGUUGAAAGGGAAGCGCUUGAGACCAGACUCGGUCAGUGGUGAUCAGCGGUGCUUCUGUACCGUGCACUUGCCAUUGACUGGGCCAGCAUCGGUUCGGACGGCGGGAUAAAGGCCUUAGGAAUGUGGCUCUCUUCGGGGAGUGUUAUAGCCUAGGGUGCAAUGCCGCCAGUCUGGACCGAGGACCGCGCUUCGGCUAGGAUGCUGGCGUAAUGGUCUUCAGCGACCCGUCUUGAAACACGGACCAAGGAGUCUAACAUCUAUGCGAGUGUUCGGGUGGAAAACCCUUGCGCGUAAUGAAAGUGAACGGAGGUGAGAACACUUCGGUGUGCAUCAUCGACCGAUCCUGAUGUCUUCGGAUGGAUUUGAGUAUGAGCAUAGCUGUUGGGACCCGAAAGAUGGUGAACUAUGCCUGAAUAGGGUGAAGCCAGAGGAAACUCUGGUGGAGGCUCGCAGCGGUUCUGACGUGCAAAUCGAUCGUCAAAUUUGGGUAUAGGGGGCGAAAGACUAAUCGAACCAUCUAGUAGCUGGUUUCCUGCCCGAA